CACGCUUUAGGCCAGCAAUGUAUCCCAGCGCGCUCUACUCAAGUCUCAUUUCCCACGAGACAGAAACAAGGAUGUGAGGCUGUUGCCAUGUGAGCAGCUCACGUGUGCCCACAUUUGAUUACUGUCUUUCUUUUCUAUGUGCCGGGACUCCUCCGUCUCAGCAGCCAGGAGGACUGCUGCCAGAGUCUGAGCUCUGGCCUUUGCCGCAGCUUGGAAUGCAGGACUGCAAGAGCCAGGACAAGGCGGGGCUUGUGCUCCUACCACAAACCACCACUCCCCUGGGCCACUGAACAUCCCAAUGAACACUGCAGAGAAGAAAGUGAUGCAUGCAAACACCCCCAUCCCCAGCUCUCCAGGACCCCACCUCUGAGCCAGGAGAAAGCAAAGCUGCCUUAUACUACCACAAAAAGAAAACCGCACCCCUGGACACAAAGCCUGAAUAGUGUCAAACUGCCCAUACCCUUCUCAGGCCAAUUCUGUUCAGACGAACUUUUUCUAAGUACAUCUUACAAAAUUUAGUCAGUAUCUGACGUUGAUAAAGAAUUAAUUGUUAAUUUAGAAAAGUCACAAACACCUUUAAGUUUGACUGCUUUCUGAAACAGGGUCACAUGGGACUCAGGCCAACUUCAAACUUACUAUGUAACCACACCAACUUUAAUUUCUGAUUUUCCUGCCUCCAUCUCCCAAAGAGCUAAGAUGUGCCAUCAUGUCUGACUCAGUCCUUUCAAAAGACACCCAUCAAAAAUAAAAGGCUCCUGUUUUUUUUUAA